rnacentral:rRNA from 1 species
GAUGAACGCUGGCGGCGUGCUUAACACAUGCAAGUCGAACGAAGCAUUUGAGAACGAUUCUUCGGAUGAAGUCUUUUGUGACUGAGUGGCGGACGGGUGAGUAACGCGUGGGUAACCUGCCUCACACAGGGGGAUAACAGUUGGAAACGACCGCUAAUACCGCAUAAGCUGCCGGUGCCGCAUGGCACUGACGGAAAAGAUUUUAUCGGUGUGAGAUGGACCCGCGUCUGAUUAGCCAGUUGGCAGGGUAACGGCCUACCAAAGCGACGAUCAGUAGCCGGCCUGAGAGGGUGAACGGCCACAUUGGGACUGAGACACGGCCCAG